GGGGGUGUACUGGAUUCGACAUUUGUCUUGAAGCGGUAUAAGCACGUCGUAGGCUCGGCUACGUAAAAACGGAACCUAAAAUUAAACGCAAACAAUAACGAAAUGAGACCUCAACGUCUCGC
rnacentral:tmRNA from 1 species